rnacentral:rRNA from 1 species
AUCGAACGCUGGCGGCAGGCCUAACACAUGCAAGUCGAGCGAGCGGCGGACGGGUGAGUAAUGUAUGGGGACUGCCCGAUAGAGGGGGAUAACUACUGGAAACGGUGGCUAAUACCGCAUACUGUCGGAUAACCCAUAUGGGUUUAGCUAGUAGGUAAGGUAAUGGCUUACCUAGGCGACGAUCCCUAGCUGGUCUGAGAGGAUGAUCAGCAAAACUGGGACUGGGACACGGCCCAAACUCCUACGGGGGCGGCAGUGGGAAAUAUUGCACAAGGGGCGCAAGCCUGAUGCACCCAUGCCGCGGGUAUAAAGAGGGCCUAGGGGUUGUAAAGUACUUUCAGUCGGAAGGCGUUACCGACAGAAGAAGCACCGGCUAACUCCGUGCCAGCAGCCGCGGUAAUUC